CAAACCGAUGGUGUUCAUGGGUGAGCAGGAGAUGGUCAGGUUAGAGGCAAAUUACUGAAAAAAGGUGAGCAGGCCUUCCCAUACUUCCUGGAAAAACAACCUUGAGCAUGGGCAUUUUAUCUCAUUAGGCCUUGAUUUACUCCUAGCGAGAGUGUCUGAAGCUGGAAGCUCCAGUUAACAGGCCUGAUCUUUCCCGUUCCCUUUCUCCAUGUCCUGAGCAGAGCCCGAAACACGCCAGCGUCGCACCGCUGCUGUUGCCAUUAGGAUCGGCCUGCCUGACUCUGCUGCCGCAAUUAACUUCUGAUGAGCAUUGGACAGAAGCUGGAAAGGAACUCGCUGUGUCUUCCUGCUCACAUCUUCCCUGCAUGGCUUGGUCUUGUGCUUUUGCACGUUCCUACAUGGCCCUCAUGUUGUGACGUGGAUCAAUCGGGAACGCUGUGAACUGAACCACCGUGAACCUGUCAGCUGCUCCACAGGAGAAACAGACCUACAUUCCCAACUGCCCCUUUGAAAGAUCAGUAUCAUGGUAAGUAAUGAUGCUGGGGUUUCUCCUGGUUGACCUUCACUGGCAGCUUUGGUUGUGGCAAGCAGUAGGGGUCUUCUCUCAGCAUCAGGGGUCCGAAAAGCGCCAAGGCUUGAGGGGGCAUCAGAGAUCGAGAAAAGCAGCGAAUGGUACCAGCAUUGCCCCCUGUGGGGUGUUUGAAAAGGUCACUAGUUAUGCUGGCAAACCCUGUUAUCUGUGUCUCCUCCGCUGGCUAUCUGCAGCCAACACUGAGCAAACACCGCCAAGCUGUUCUGGCACAUCCCACGACGAUGCCACCCUCUCCAGAGACCCAUGAGAUGUAACCUCUUUGAGAAGAGCCAGAUUUGUCACAUGGAUGCACAUUUCUCAGGACGGGAGCAUUUCCUGUUUGUGUCAGAUGAAGUCAGUGAGGCCUGGUGUCAAUGACGCUCCGGAUCUUCACACACCUGCCGGAGAUCCAGCAUCACACCUCGCAGCCCCAGAGUCGGACUGUGACCCAGAGUGCUCUGUCUCCUGGCCCAUGUCUCAUGUUGAUUGGUGGCCUCAUGUUGCCCGCUGAUCCAUUGUGAUGCUGUCUGUGCUGCUACUGGUUCCUAUGGCCAUGAGCCACAGAGGGAAGCUACAAAACCAG